rnacentral:snRNA from 1 species
ACUCAUUUUAACAAUACCACCGA